rnacentral:sRNA from 1 species
GCUGGGCACAGUGGUGCUCGCCUGUAAUCCCAGCAGCUGGGAAGGCUGAGACAGGAGGAUCUUGAUUUCAAAGCCAACCUCAGCAACGGCGAGGCACUGAGCAGCUCAGUUGAGACCCUGUCUCUA